rnacentral:lncRNA from 12 species
GAGCUCGUAGGGAGCUCAAAGUAGUAAAUAUGAAAUUCAGCUUUGCAUCAUUAUAAAUUGAGAAUAUAAUUUUAUGAAAAGAGUAUUUCGCUAAGGACAGGCUGGUUUACAAAAUGCCAUCGUGGUCUAUCAUCAGAAGGCCAAGAAGUGAGCUCAGAUUCCUUUUCUUAUUUCCUUUAAAGGGAAAUUUGAACUGUUCCUGUGCCCAGGGGCAUGACAAGUACCUUCUCUCUGAAGGGGUCAGUAGCCUCUAUUAACGUCUGAAGGAUGGCCCUACAUUCCUAGGGCCCCUCCCAUAGGUAUCGAAUUAUAAAUAUAAAGUUGCUUUUUUUUCCCCCCUUUCAGGAAAGAUCCCGACUUCACCUUCCUUAGCAAUGGAAUAAGUGACUGAAAAACAGCAGUUGCUGAUGAAAUCCCAACUUCCAGAUACAUUCCAGGGCUUAUUUGUGGAGGGAAAUGUUCUUUACCUUUUGAACUUUCAGAUAGCUGGCAAAAGCACACGGGUAAGCUUUUUUCUUUCUUUCUUUUUAAUUAAACAGGAAAAAAUAUCACACCCUGGCUUGGCUGGUUACCAAAGGCAGGGGUUUCACAGCUAUUCCUGAAGGAUCCCUUCACAGAUGCGGGGCUGGGUGACAGGAACAAGGACCCGGCAUGGUGACUGUAACGGCAACCCCCUCCAUAUCUUCCUAGAAACCAGCUGCAGCCAGGGCUUCUGGAAGGGGGUGACGAGGAGAAGCGCCUGUGACACGGCUUCCUUUAAUCCAGCAGAUAGAUGCCUGUGGUUUCAGAGCCCUGGGAUGUUCCACUCCGUGUGCCACAUGCAUGUGGUUAGUUAAUGACCUGGGUGUCUACUGAGGUUUGUGACCACGGAUUGUUGCAAAGCUCUACCUGACUCCUUUCUUCUCCUAGAGAAGAUGAGAACAUUCUGACCAUAUUAGUCAUGCUGGGCUUUCUUCUUCUUCUUCUUUUUUUUUUUUUUUUUUUUUUUUUUUUUAAUACACAGGAAAUGUUCCUCUCCAAGAGCACAUAAUUUGGCCAAUAACAGCUUCCUAGGUUCAGAGCAACUUCACCAUCUAUCAUGAGUUCUCCAAGAUAAAGUUUGUAGUAGCACUUUUAGCAGCAGAAAUGUCACCAAAUUGCAUAAACCCAAGGCCUGCUUUGGCAUCCAGUCACACUGCAAAUAUUGAUUGAGCAGAGUUCAUUGGGGUCAGUAAGAUGAAUUGGACGGUUUAUCCUUCAUCCUUAGAAUUUACCAUGAGUCACACAAAGUCACACAGGCUUCCUUUUGUUCGGAAAGAGGCAUUUCAAUAUUGAAUUGUGGGCAGCAGAGAACGCAGUACUCCUGUGACAUUAGAGCUUUGGCAAGGAGAGUGUCAACAGGGUUGGAUGUGAGAUCCGCGUGGCUGCUGUCUGGGGCUGAAAUGUACCCUCUUGGCACUGGAGCAUCCAGUGGGAAGAAGCCAGGCUUGCAGCGCUCAUGAGUUUGUAAACAGGGCCAUGUACAGUCCUCCUAAUUACUAUUUUGUCAUGUGGAAACCGACUAUAGCCUAUUAGAUGGGAAAUUCACCUCUGAGGCUGUCUGCAUAAUUUAAAAGAGCCAGUUACAAAACAGAAAGUAGAGGGGAGAGUUGUCAUCGUCUACACAAAGUCAAUCGAUUGGUUGGUCACUCAUCUGUCAUGAUCACUCUAAUGUGUCAACUUGGCUAUGCUUAUGGUACUGGGUUAUUCGAUCAAGAACUCAUCUAGGUGUUGCUGUGAAGAUAUUCUGUAGAUAUGAUUAACAUCUACAAGCAGUUGACUUUAUAUAAAGAAGAUUCCUGGAUAAUCUGGGUGGAUCUGGCCCAGUCCUUUGAAUGGCCUUAAUAACAGAACUGAGAUUUCCGUCUGGAAAAAGAAAUUCCACCUGUGGACUGGAGUAGUUCCUGCCUGAGAGUUUCUACCCCACCCUUCCUGACAACAUACCUAUGGAUUUUGGAUUUGCCCAGACAGCCUUACAAUCACAAAAAAAAAAAAAAAUUCCUUGCAAUCUCUCUCUCUCUAUGUAUAUGUGUGUAUAUACACUAAUGUAAUUAAUAUAUUAUACUCAUAUAUAAUAGAUUUCAAUGUAUCAUAGGAUGUAUAUUAUUAAUGUAUGCAAUUAAUAUUAUGAGCAUGUAGAUAUGUAUUCAUAUGUGUUCAUACGUCUCCUACUUUUGUUACUUUGACACUGAUACAUCAUCUUAUCAUUACUUAGAGGUAACAAACAGCCAACUUGAUGAUUUUUUUUAACUAAAUCAAAUGCCAGUGCCCAAAGAUAGCAUGUAAGAUUAGCAGUGACCUUCAGGGCAUGUCUAUACCACGACUACAUAAAAUUUUCAGUCUAUUCUCAACACAGGAACCAGAGCUAUCCUACUAUAACACGGGUUAGAUCAUCUCCCUCCACUGUUUAAAACUCCGACUAAUUUCUCGCACUCAUGGUCAACGUCAAUGUCUUUAUGUCAGUGUGCAAACCCGCAAGAUCUGAGCCCCAAUUCCUUGAACAGUGUCACUUGCUUUCACCCUCUUGCUCCUAUGGUCCAGCCAUGCUAGGUUUUUCUGUCCCUCACAGAUGCCAGACACACUUGUUAUUCAGGGUUGAGACACUAUUCUCCGGGUUGAUUUUCCUUCCUUCAUAGCACCUAUAGCCACUUGAAAUAUUCCAUAUUUACUUACUGCUCUGUCCAAAAUCUAUCUUUUCUAGAAUGUAAAGCCCUAUAAGAGCAGGGAGUGCUUCCGUUUUGUUCACUGCUGUAUGUACUCCAGUGCACACAUAAGUUAGGAAAUCUGUUAAUACCUGUUGAAUGAAUGAAUGAAUGAAUGAAUGCACUUAAUAGUGAUGAAGUCAGACAUAUAUGUAAGUUGGUGUUAUUUAGAUAAAACAAUUGGUUUGCCAAAUGUUCAUUUUCUGCCAGGCCUUUCUUCCCCCCAACCCCCCCCCCACACACACACAAGUACCAUUUCAAAGGGAACUGAUGUGAUCUAACCUUGAAGGUCUCCUUUCUUCUGAACAUUUCUUCAGUGGUGGCCAUAUUGGUCACUUUUUCCAUGUUGAGAUCCUCUCCUCUUAACUUCAUGAUUCUGUGCUGCUCGUCUAUUGGUCAAGAUCCAUCUCUAGAGUUACCUUUUCUAACCGCCUUAACAGAAGUUACCUUGGCAUCCCCUGAAAUCCUCAAAGCACAUGUCACCUCUGCUGCUCAUGGGAUAUAGGACAUUGGCUGUCCCUUCUUCAACUACAUCUCAGGAUACCAAUGAAUUCUGGGGGGUCAGAACAGUGCAUUACACUUCCCUGACCCCCUGCAUCCACCAGCAUCGUGCCACAUGAUGGCAGAGUUCCAAUUCCAAUUUGUUCGAGAAAUAAAUGGGUGAGUAUUGUUAGUCA